AGGACGAACGCUGGCGGCGUGCUUAAUACAUACAAGUCGAACGGAGCUUAGCUGAUAGUUACUAGAGGCGAAAGCUUAGUGGCGGACGGGUGAGUAACGCGUGGGUAAUCUGCCCCUAAGUCCGGGAUAACAGAGCGAAAGUUCUGCUAAGACCGGAUACUCUUUACCAGUUGCAUAACGGGUAAAGGAAAGGUAACGCUUAGGGAUGAGCCCGCGUCCCAUUAGCUAGUUGGUGAGGUAAGAGCUCACCAAGGCGACGAUGGGUAGCCGGCCUGAGAGGGUGGACGGCCACACUGGGACUGAGACACGGCCCAGACUCCUACGGGAGGCAGCAGUAGGGAAUUUUCCGCAAUGGGCGACAAGCCUGACGGAGCAACGCCGCGUGAGGGACGAAGGUCUUCGGAUCGUAAACCUUUGUCAUCGAGGACGAUAAUGACGGUACUCGAGGAGGAAGCCCCGGCUAACUACGUGCCAGCCGCCGC
rnacentral:rRNA from 1 species